GACAGAGGCCUCAAGCGUUAGGCGGAAUCACUGGGCUUAAAGCGUGUGUAGGCGGAUCGUUAAGUGUCUUGUGAAAUCCCACGGCUCACCCGUGGAACGGCUGGGCAUACUGGCGAUCUUGGGCCAACUAGGGGCAACUGGAACAAGCGGUGGAGCGGUGAAAUGCGUAGAUAUCGCUUGGAACGCCGAAGGUGAAAACAGGUUGCUGGGGUUGUGCCGACGCUGGAGACACGAAAGCCAGGGGAGCAAACGGG
rnacentral:rRNA from 1 species